GCCCGCAUAGCUCAGUUGGUAGAGCACCUGAUUUGUAAUCAGGAUGUCGUCCGUUCGAUUCGGACUGCGGGCU
rnacentral:tRNA from 1 species